GACGAACGCUGGCGGCGUGCUUAACACAUGCAAGUCGAACGGAAAGGCCCUGCUUUUGUGGGGUGCUCGAGUGGCGAACGGGUGAGUAACACGUGAGUAACCUGCCCUUGACUUUGGGAUAACUUCAGGAAACUGGGGCUAAUACCGGAUAGGAGCUCCUGCUGCAUGGUGGGGGUUGGAAAGUUUCGGCGGUUGGGGAUGGACUCGCGGCUUAUCAGCUUGUUGGUGGGGUAGUGGCUUACCAAGGCUUUGACGGGUAGCCGGCCUGAGAGGGUGACCGGCCACAUUGGGACUGAGAUACGGCCCAGACUCCUACGGGAGGCAGCAGUGGGGAAUAUUGCACAAUGGGCGGAAGCCUGAUGCAGCAACGCCGCGUGCGGGAUGACGGCCUUCGGGUUGUAAACCGCUUUCGCCUGUGACGAAGCGUGAGUGACGGUAAUGGGUAAAGAAGCACCGGCUAACUACGUGCCAGCAGCCGCGGUGAUACGUAGGGUGCGAGCGUUGUCCGGAUUUAUUGGGCGUAAAGGGCUCGUAGGUGGUUGAUCGCGUCGGAAGUGUAAUCUUGGGGCUUAACCCUGAGCGUGCUUUCGAUACGGGUUGACUUGAGGAAGGUAGGGGAGAAUGGAAUUCCUGGUGGAGCGGUGGAAUGCGCAGAUAUCAGGAGGAACACCAGUGGCGAAGGCGGUUCUCUGGGCCUUUCCUGACGCUGAGGAGCGAAAGCGUGGGGAGCGAACAGGCUUAGAUACCCUGGUAGUCCACGCUGUAAACGGUGGGUACUAGGUGUGGGGUCCAUUCCACGGGUUCCGUGCCGUAGCUAACGCUUUAAGUACCCCGCCUGGGGAGUACGGCCGCAAGGCUAAAACUCAAAGGAAUUGACGGGGCCCCGCACAAGCGGCGGAGCAUGCGGAUUAAUUCGAUGCAACGCGUAGAACCUUACCUGGGUUUGACAUGGAUCGGGAGUGCUCAGAGAUGGGUGUGCCUCUUUUGGGGUCGGUUCACAGGUGGUGCAUGGCUGUCGUCAGCUCGUGUCGUGAGAUGUUGGGUUAAGUCCCGCAACGAGCGCAACCCUUGUUCACUGUUGCCAGCACGUUAUGGUGGGGACUCAGUGGAGACCGCCGGGGUCAACUCGGAGGAAGGUGGGGAUGACGUCAAGUCAUCAUGCCCCUUAUGUCCAGGGCUUCACGCAUGCUACAAUGGCUGGUACAGAGAGUGGCGAGCCUGUGAGGGUGAGCGAAUCUCGGAAAGCCGGUCUCAGUUCGGAUCGGGGUCUGCAACUCGACCUCAUGAAGUCGGAGUCGCUAGUAAUCGCAGAUCAGCAACGCUGCGGUGAAUAAGUUCCCGGGGCU
rnacentral:rRNA from 1 species